rnacentral:rRNA from 1 species
UACGAAGGGUGCAAGCGUUACUCGGAAUUACUGGGCGUAAAGCGUGCGUAGGCGGUUCGUUAAGUCAGCUGUGAAAGCCCCGGGCUCAACCUGGGAACUGCGGUUGAAACUGGCGAACUAGAAUCUGGCAGAGGGGGGUGGAAUUCCACGUGUAGCAGUGAAAUGCGUAGAGAUGUGGAGGAACACCGAUGGCGAAGGCAGCCCCCUGGGCUGAGAUUGACGCUCAGGCACGAAAGCGUGGGGAGCAAACAGG